rnacentral:tRNA from 3 species
CGGGGCGUGGCGCAGCCUGGCUAGCGUACCUGCUUUGGGAGCAGGGGGUCGGAGGUUCGAAUCCUCUCGCCCCGACCA